UUCCACUGCAGAGCCUAAAAG
rnacentral:misc_RNA from 1 species